GCUGGGGCUCAGUGGCAGAGCGCUUGCCUAGCACGUGGGAGGCCCUGGGUCCGAUCCCCAGCACCA
rnacentral:tRNA from 1 species